UACCACAGUUUCUUCAGUUUACAGUGAGGAUCCUCCAGUACAGCAGACAGCAGUGUGACUCCAGAGUCUUCUAGAUUAUUAUUAGACAGAUACAGUUCUCUCAGGUGUGAGGGGUUUGAUCUCAGAGCUGAACACAGAGCAGCACAACCUUCAUCUGUGACACCACAAUCACUCAACCUGUAGAGAACAAUGACACACUCUUCACUCUCUCACAUCAGAUCAGAUCAGAUCA